UGUACGAGAGCAGAUGUGCGUGUGUGUUUGCGUGAAAGAAAGAGACGGAAAGAGACUCUACACAUUGUACAAACAAGCAAGCCGUCUGCCAAAAUGAAUGAAACAACAGAAAUAAAAACAAUAACAGCAGCCAAUAAUAACUGAAUGCCGCAGCAUCGUGGGGGCUGCAAUUAAAAAGAGCGCAGAUGCCAGCAGCUGAGAGCGCCAGAGCAAGAGAGUAAUGUAAAUGUAUGAGAAGCGUGUUUAAUUUUUUUUGGAGACAGUUGCCGAGCUGGUUAUUGUCGUCGAUGCUGUUGUUGUUGUUGUUGCCAUAUUGUGAAUUAAUGAAAUGCGCUCAAUGAAAUGAUGAAUGAGGCAGCGGCUCCAGCCAGACAGAAAGAGAGAGAGACAGAAACUGAAUGGACAAUUGAAGCCACAUUUUAACAAGAAGAGAGCAGCAUUUACUCUCUUGCACAACUGCAAUAGCUAUCGUUUUUAUAUCAAUUUGAAGAGUUGAUGGUUUUUAGCUCGUUCUGUUGAGGAUGUGCCGUAAAUUAAACACAUACGCCUUUUUAACGCGAAUGGCAAUGUGUCUGAAAUCAAUGGAAAGCGUUUUUUAUUUUUAUUUAUAUUGUUUUUGUUGUCUGCCAACAACAAUAAAACAACAAGACACUUAAA